rnacentral:lncRNA from 1 species
AGAACAGAGAUAGCCAUCUUUCCAGACCACUCCAGCCCCUUGUAGGUUCUUACCAUGGGGAUGGGGAACAGCCAGGCCUAUUGAGUCUGUGCUUGGAGAUUGGCAUCAGAGCCCUGAAGAGCAGCAGUGGCUUGCACACCCUCCUGCUGGCAUCACCACCCUGUGCAGUCGGGGAGGCCGGGGGGCUCAGGUCUCUGCAUCUGGUGGUCACUGCAGCGUCAGAUGAAUGACAGCGACCGUCUGCCAGGGCAGCACCUUUUAAACAUCCCCACAUCGACAGAGGGGCUUGAGUGAGAUUUGAGGUGUGCAGACCUGCAUGCUGCCAGCUGGCUUCGAGUCUCCAAAGUUUCAGAUUCUAUUUUUUUUUUUCAUGAGGAGGAGAACGUGAAGCCACGUCUGUGAUCUCAGCACUUGGGGGUGGGAGGCAGGAGCAUCAGGACUUCCUUCCACCCUCAGCUACAUGGCAAAUGCAGGGCUAGCCUAGGCUUCAUGAAACUGUCUCAAAGCAGUAAAGCGAAAAGAAUUAUUUGAACUUUGCUCUGAUGCAAAUUUUCAAUAGGAAAGUAAUGUCACCUACUGCCCAGCCCUCAGAUAUAUAAAUCUCUCCCUGAGAAGCCUUAUUUGUCAUGGGACCUAGCAUACAUUUUACAAUUAUAUCUCAUUUUGAGAAUCCUCGUAAAUAUUGACUGGGCAGAUGGCGGUGCCUACAGAGCACAAAACUUGAGGCGGGAAAGGCCUGUGGGAACCUUUGCGCUGCCAUUUUGUAGACUUAGACAGGCCAUUUAACCUUUCAAAGAUAGUUUCUGUACUUACAAGAUGACUACUAGUCGCUACCUCAUUCUCUUAAGAGUUCAGCUGCAUUCUGCAAAUAAAAUGCUUGAAAUGGUGCCUGGGGUACAAGAACCA